rnacentral:rRNA from 1 species
UACGUAGGUCCCGAGCGUUGUCCGGAUUUAUUGGGCGUAAAGCGAGCGCAGGCGGUUAGGUAAGUCUGAAGUUAAAGGCUGUGGCUUAACCAUAGUACGCUUUGGAAACUGUUUAACUUGAGUGCAAGAGGGGAGAGUGGAAUUCCAUGUGUAGCGGUGAAAUGCGUAGAUAUAUGGAGGAACACCGGUGGCGAAAGCGGCUCUCUGGCUUGUAACUGACGCUGAGGCUCGAAAGCGUGGGGAGCAAACAGGAUUAGAUACCCUGGUAGUC